UCAGGAUGAACGCUGGCGGCGCGCCUAACACAUGCAAGUCGAACGGCACCCAUCUUCGGAUGGAAGCGAGUGGCGAACGGCUGAGUAACACGUGGAGAACCUGCCCCCUCCCCCGGGAUAGCCGCCCGAAAGGACGGGUAAUACCGGAUACCCCGGGGUGCCGCAUGGCACCCCGGCUAAAGCCCCGACGGGAGGGGAUGGCUCCGCGGCCCAUCAGGUAGACGGCGGGGUGACGGCCCACCGUGCCGACAACGGGUAGCCGGGUUGAGAGACCGACCGGCCAGAUUGGGACUGAGACACGGCCCAGACUCCUACGGGAGGCAGCAGUGGGGAAUCUUGCGCAAUGGGGGGAACCCUGACGCAGCGACGCCGCGUGCGGGACGGAGGCCUUCGGGUCGUAAACCGCUUUCAGCAGGGAAGAGUCAAGACUGUACCUGCAGAAGAAGCCCCGGCUAACUACGUGCCAGCAGCCGCGGUAAUACGUAGGGGGCGAGCGUUAUCCGGAUUCAUUGGGCGUAAAGCGCGCGUAGGCGGCCCGGCAGGCCGGGGGUCGAAGCGGGGGGCUCAACCCCCCGAAGCCCCCGGAACCUCCGCGGCUUGGGUCCGGUAGGGGAGGGUGGAACACCCGGUGUAGCGGUGGAAUGCGCAGAUAUCGGGUGGAACACCGGUGGCGAAGGCGGCCCUCUGGGCCGAGACCGACGCUGAGGCGCGAAAGCUGGGGGAGCGAACAGGAUUAGAUACCCUGGUAGUCCCAGCCGUAAACGAUGGACGCUAGGUGUGGGGGGACGAUCCCCCCGUGCCGCAGCCAACGCAUUAAGCGUCCCGCCUGGGGAGUACGGCCGCAAGGCUAAAACUCAAAGGAAUUGACGGAAG
rnacentral:rRNA from 1 species